GCUCCUUUCAGCCGGAGCUAGCGCUCACUGAUCAGAGCAGACACAUGGAGAUGAGUAACUGUACCGGGAAAGCAAGACCUCGCGCUUACAGGACAGUACUGGCGACAUUUGGAAAGUUGCUAAAGGUUUUUCUGCAGUACAAGAAGAUGAAGCUGGGUGAAGUCGGCCAUACCCUGCAAUGCGCUGGCAUAAUGCCAAAAUUGUACUCCCAGCUUUUCUCUUGGCUAUAUGGAAUAGGCUUCAAGUUCACCGUGGAGAGUUUGACAGAUAUAGUUGCAUGAGUUUCAGUUAAAUUGCAUUCAAAUAAAACUAAAAUGAAUGGUAAUAAUUAA